rnacentral:misc_RNA from 1 species
UCCCGGUUCACCCGGGCAGUCUCGCUAGAGUUCCCACCAUUACGUGCUGGCAACUAACGAUAAGGGUUGCGCUCGUUGCGGGACUUAACCCAACACCUCACGGCACGAGCUGACGACAGCCAUGCAGCACCUGUUCAAAGGCCCUUACGGGCGUUUACAUUUCUGCAAACUUCCUCUGAAUGUCAAGACCAGGUAAGGUUCUUCGCGUUGCAUCGAAUUAAACCACAUGCUCCACUGCUUGUGCGGGUCCCCGUCAAUUCUUUUGAGUUUUACCCUUGCGAGCGUACUCCCCAGGCGGUGUACUUAUCGCGUUAGCUACGGCACAACUGGGGUUGAGUCCAGUUACACCAAGUACACAUCGUUUACGGCAAGGACUAC